UCCCCAAUGGAUUUGUCUAUAGUC
rnacentral:siRNA from 1 species